UACGUAGGGUGCAAGCGUUAUCCGGAAUUAUUGGGCGUAAAGCGCACGUAGGCGGUCCGUUAAGUCAGAUGUGAAAGCCCCCGGCUCAACCGGGGAAGUGCAUCUGAAACUGGCGGGCUAGAGUACGAAAGAGGGUCGCGGAAUUCCCGGUGUAGAGGUGAAAUUCGUAGAUAUCGGGAGGAACACCGGUGGCGAAGGCGGCGACUUGGGUCGAUACUGACGCUGAGGUGCGAAAGCGUGGGGAGCAAACAGG
rnacentral:rRNA from 1 species